UCCGAACUCUCCAUUCCUCUGC
rnacentral:miRNA from 1 species